rnacentral:lncRNA from 1 species
CAAGAUGUCAUGAAAUAGGUGAGGCAGGAGCAUGAGGUCCCCAGUACCUGACAAUUAAGCAUUUCUAUGAGCUGCAGAGAAAGUUCUGAAGUGCACGGACCCAUCUGAGGGAGCGUGUGGGAGGCCCCGAAGGCCCAAGCUGAGUUGAAAGCAAAGAUCCUGCUUACGUGACAUGGAGACUGACCGAAGAUCACUUCCCACUCUUGCCACCUGCGCUGGAAGUUUCCCAAGGACAGGGCCUGGCACUCCUGUUCCCUGGCAGGCUGUACGCCCCGAACACAGCGAGUCUGAGACAUGCUAAGCAAGACCUCUGCAGCUGCCGCGUCCCAUCGUCAGGACUCAAAGGAGUGGCAUCUUGGAAGGGGGCCACCCUCCCCGGAUCUCAAACGGCUGGCUUGACUUUGGAGCCACUCGCUGAGAUGAGCUGAGGCUGCAGUCCUGAACCUCGUGCCUCUGGGAGGUUCCCAGGCUGCUGUUUACCCUGAUUCCUGGCCAUCCAUCCUAUUUCCUAAGACAGUACUGUUUUUCUAGCCUACUUAGCUAUUCUUGGGGAAAAUAUCACAGUGGGUAGGAAGUUUUUGCUCCAAAGCCAAACAAAGAGGAGAAAAACAAGAGGAAAGAAGGUUAUGUUAAAAAAAAAAAAUAAAGAAUUUGAGAAAUACCCAAUGCUCUUGUUAAGCAAAUAAUUUCCCAGGAUUUCUCAACGUACAAGGAAACCCAAUAGCCACAAAAAUAACCCCAGUUAAAGAAAAUACGCCCGUUUCAGAUUUACUUUCUGAACAUUCGCUGUGGUUUGCCCACAGUGAGGCUCCGGGCACCUGCUGGCCUCGAGGGCCCGGUGAAGACAGCCUAGAAGCCGGAUGGGUAGAACGCCAAACAUCUGGAAGCUUCUGGGAACUCCCCUCUCGCUGGGCUCCGGAAGUGGCUUUUCUGCAGCCCCUCCCGGGGCUGGGGCUGCCAACCUAAGAGGACGUGCAGGGAGAGGGCACAAGCUGGAUUCCUCCCACCCUUCAGGGUUCUGCUCAGAUGUCACCUCCCAGGGACACUUCCCUGGUCAUCUUGCCUAGUUCCCCUCUCUCCUUCCCCGCCACCCUGUUUUACGGUCCUCAUAGAACGUAUCACCUCCUAAAUGACGGGGUUCACUUUUCCAUGCGUCGCCCACACCAG